rnacentral:rRNA from 1 species
AUACAGAGGGUGCAAGCGUUAAUCGGAAUUACUGGGCGGAAAGCGCGCGUAGGUGGUCUGUUAAGUCGGAUGUGAAAGCCCCGGGCUUAACCUGGGAAUUGCAUUCGAUACUGGCAGACUUGAAUACGGGAGAGGGAGGUAGAAUUCCACGUGUAGCGGUGAAAUGCGUAGAUAUGUGGAGGAAUACCAGUGGCGAAGGCGGCCUCCUGGCCUGAUAUUGACACUGAGGUGCGAAAGCGUGGGGAGCAAACAGGAUUAGAAACCCCAGUAGUCC